rnacentral:rRNA from 1 species
UACGUAGGGGGCAAGCGUUGUCCGGAUUCAUUGGGCGUAAAGAGCGUGUAGGCGGCCAGGUAGGUCGGUUGUGAAAACUGGAGGCUCAACCUUCAGACGUCGACCGAAACCCCCUGGCUAGAGUCCGGGAGAGGAGAGUGGAAUUCCUGGUGUAGCAGUGGAAUGCGCAGAUAUCAGGAAGAACACCCGUGGCGAAAGCGGCUCUCUGGAACGGUACUGACGCUGAGACGCGAAAGCGUGGGGAGCGAACAGG